rnacentral:rRNA from 1 species
UACGAAGGGGGCUAGCGUUGUUCGGAAUUACUGGGCGUAAAGCGUAUGCAGGCGGAUCGUUAAGUCGGGGGUGAAAUCCCGAGGCUCAACCUCGGAACUGCCUUCGAUACUGGCGACCUUCGAGUCCGGAGAGGUGAGUGGAACUCCGAGUGUAGAGGUGAAAUGCGUAGAUAUCUGGAGGAACACCGGUGGCGAAGGCGGCAUCCUGGACCGGCAUUGACGCUGAGGCGCGAAAGCCAGGGGAGCAAACGGG